GAUGAACGCUGGCGGCGUGCUUAACACAUGCAAGUCGAACGAGAAAUGGAGACGGAAACCUUCGGGCGGAAGGCUUCAUUUCGAGUGGCGGACGGGUGAGUAACGCGUGGGUAACCUGCCUCAUACAGGGGGAUAACAGUUGGAAACGACUGUUAAUACCGCAUAAGACCACAGCACCGCAUGGUGCGGGGGUAAAAACUCCGGUGGUAUGAGAUGGACCCGCGUUCGAUUAGCCAGUUGGCGGGGUAACGGCCCACCAAAGCGACGAUCGAUAGCCGAUCUGAGAGGAUGACCGGCCACAUUGGGACUGAGACACGGCCCAAACUCCUACGGGAGGCAGCAGUGGGGAAUAUUGCACAAUGGGGGAAACCCUGAUGCAGCGACGCCGCGUGAGUGAAGAAGUACUUCGGUAUGUAAAGCUCUAUCAGCAGGGAAGAAAAUGACGGUACCUGAGUAAGAAACCCCGGCUAACUACGU
rnacentral:rRNA from 1 species